rnacentral:rRNA from 1 species
UACAGAGGUCUCAAGCGUUGUUCGGAUUCAUUGGGCGUAAAGGGUGUGUAGGUGGCGCCGUAAGUCGGGUGUGAAAUUUCGGAGCUUAACUCCGAAACUGCAUUCGAUACUGCGGUGCUCGAGGACUGGAGAGGAGACUGGAAUUCAUGGUGUAGCAGUGAAAUGCGUAGAAAUCAUGAGGAAGACCAGUGGCGAAGGCGGGUCUCUGGACAGUUCCUGACACUGAGACACGGAAGGCCAGGGGAGCAAACGGG